CUAGACUUUGCUGAUGCAAAGUGUGUUUUGUUUGCUUUGAACAGCCAGAAAUAUAUGGAAUCACAAGGAGACUGAUUGAAAACCUGGAAGACAGACACUUUCCAGUCUGAGCUUUCUGUUGUGGAAACAGGGUAAGCCAGCAUAUAUAUGCUCAUAUAUACGAGCAUAUAUGAGAAGCAAAUCAAGCAUGACCAACUGGCACAUUUAUGUGGAGCAAGAACAGACGUAGUGAUUCAGUGGGCACAGCUGGGUUCGGCUGCGUCCCAUGCUGCUCCUCGCUUGGACAGGGGUAGCUGGAGGAUCUCUGCAUGAUUUCACUGCACAUCUCCUGGUGGCACACCAAAUUAUGACUGAAAGCUGGUAAUUUUUUCCUCUUCUUCUUUUCUUGAUAAAGAAAAUAUUUUACCAGGUUUGUCAAAAGAGAAGUUUCAUUGUUAUAAAUAGUACUACUCAUUCAAUAAAAAGUCUAGUAUUUCAGCAAA